ensembl:lincRNA
AUGUUUCUGCUUCCAGUAAUUCAAGUCAAUGUGGCAGAUUAUAUUUUCCAAACAUAUGGUAGUAGAGCUGGUGGAAUGAGAGAGAUUUUUGCAGCGAUCUCAGGAAAAUACAGUCUGAUGUGGUCAGAUAUUUUCUUCCUUUUUGUCUGGCCUGGAACUGGACUUCAUUGCACUGAACUGAGGACUGGUUUCACCUGGCCUCCAAGAAGAGUGCCAGCCAUGUGAUACCAUCUCCUACCCAGAGGAAAUCCUGAGCUCUUCUAGAUGAAGAAAGGAAUCUCAGAUGAAGGUUGAGGACACUUUUUUUUUUGAUAGGUAUAGGAGGGAACACUUGAUCUGAAAAACUUCAGCUCUGUCAGUAUGACCUUAGUUUGGAACCACAAGCUGUUGAGACACUGUGAGCAGUAUAGCAUAUAUGGAAAAUAAACUGACCAGAUUGUAGAGAUGCCUAAAUACCAGACUAAGGGAAGCAUUAUCCUAUAGUUACUUUAAAGUUACUUGAAUAAGCAAAUUCUAAUGCACACCAAAACUUUUCAAAUUAUCAAAUAUGUUGUAAAUGUGAAUGUUUGAGAACAGAUAUUUUUAAAUGGCUCACCUUUGAAAUCAAUUGAUAUAAAUGAGUUACUGAAUAAUGUACAACCAAGUACUCACAAGAGGUUAAAUUUUAAGUAAUCAAUACACAUUCACUAGGAUGGAUUUUAAAAAUAAAAGCUUUAAAACUACCAAAAGAAAGUGACUAGAAUUAUCCAGGAAUGUAAUUUGCCAGUCUUUUCUGAGGAUUUUUUGAUAAUAUACAGUAUAUCUUAACAUAUCAUAAGCAAUAAACUAGCAACUUCGAGUGUAGGAAAUACUAAACCAAAUAAAGAUGUAUAAAUAUGUGCACCAAUAAACAUGUACAAAAAUGUUCAUAGUGGUAUUGUUAAUAGUAAUGUGAUACCAGAACAAUCUAAAGGUGAAUAAUAAUAGAAAAAAAAUACAUUGUGGUAUAUUUAUAUAAUGAAAUGAUAUAAGGUAAUGAAAAGAAUCAAACUAAUGCCACAUAUUAUAUGGAUGUCACUGAAAUAAUGUCGAAUGAAAGAAGCCAGACAUAACAGUGAAUGCUACGAAAUGGAGAUUCAUUGUAAAAAUCCACAUUCUAUAAAAAGACACCUGGUACUUCGGCCUUUGAUUAAAGACAAACAAAUAUUGUAAACAGGCAUAAAUGAGGUGAUAUGCCCAACAUCUUUCAAAUUGCAUAAUAUAUUGUGAGCAAUUUCCUGUGUGAUGUACUCAAGGCCUAAAAUAAUAAACAAGAGAGUCUACAAAAUGCAGUGAUAGAGCAAAUUCUUACAAGCAUUUAGAUUCUCUUAUAACCUGAAAUUGAUUAAAUAAUACAACACAGGCAUUAUCUUGGGUCAUAUUUUGGAAGAAAUAGCUUUCCCGUUGAGCUCAUAAAGUAAAAUUUACACAUCCAUACAUGUUAUCAAAUGAAUUACAUACGAGUUCAAAAUAUCUGGUCACCAAUAAUGUACCUACUUGAUGCUGUUUUUGGAUAUUCACAAUGUAUACCAAUAUUUUUGGAAGUUUAUAUUAUAUCCAUUCUAGAAAGAUAUUUUGAAAAAAAUUAUUGCUCAUAACCAAUUCUGCAAUUCAUCUACCUUUUAGAUUAUUGCUGAAAUAGUCAUAACUUAGGAAAUAAUAAAUAAUGUGGUCUAUGUAUUAACUAAAUAUCAUAAAGCUUAAAAACUGAAUUAAUUUGAAAAGAGUAAGAGUAACAUCCCCCUUUCCUCUCUGUUGCAAGCAAAUGCAACUCAGGGGAAAAAAACUCAAGAGGUUCUUGAAUAGGUAAAAAAAAAUUACUUAAUUUUGUUGUGGAAACAUUUUAUUUUCUCCUUCAACUUUUGGGGAAAAUGCGGAAAUUAUUCAUUUUUCAAAUUAUUGACAUUGAACCCA